rnacentral:rRNA from 1 species
UUAAAUUGAAGAGUUUGAUCAUGGCUCAGAUUGAACGCUGGCGGCAGGCCUAACACAUGCAAGUCGGGCGGUAGCACAGAGGAGCUUGCUCCUUG